UUCUCCGAGGAAGAACGACAUUUGGCACAGGCUGAAAGCUCUGCAUUCCUGACACAACACUGGUCAUGCUUAAGCUAUUCUGGAAGGCUUUUGUCUUGAUUCCGGCACAAAGCAUCGUGAGUCAGUAGGCAGUCGUGAAUGGAGAGCAGAAAGAAGUGGGCUGAGUGAUGCGUUGUCUUCCCAGCAGAGCUUGGCUCAGAUGAGGGCAGCUUCAGCUGCAGCUCAGUUGGUCACAGAAUGGAGGGAAUACAUGCAAACCAACAAUAGUUCAAUGUGGAGGAAAGAG
rnacentral:lncRNA from 1 species